AGGGCCCUGCGUGGCUGCGGCGGGGACGGCGGCGCAUGGCGCAGGCUCGAGGACACCCUGCUCGGCAGCCACCGGCGGCCCCAGGCCCGGGCACCGCCCGCGCGCCCCGCAGGCCCCGGCGGCCCGGCCGGGCUCCUGGCGCCCCGCGUCCCCCCGCCGUCUGUGUCUGCGCAGCGCGAGCCACGUGCAGUGACGCCGUCCCCGGGAAGCCGCAGCGGCCGGAAGCCCGGGACGGAGCCCCUGCGGCGGCUGGAGGCGAGCGGGCCGCGGAAACCCCGGCCCCGGAGGGAGCGGCCCCGAGCGCGGCGGGCCGGGGCGGGAGGGCCGGGGACCGGGUGGGGGCUCCGCGGACGGGGCCGGGGCUGCGCGGCCCCUGCCCUCCCGCAGCCGCUGCCCCCGACGCGGCCCAGGCGGAGCAGCUGGCCCGGGAGCUGGCGUGGUGCGUGGAGCAGCUGGAGCUGGGCCUCCGGAGGCAGAAACCGACCCCGAAGCAGAAAGAGCAGGCCGUCGGGGCAGUCCGAGCCCUGCGCAGCGACAGGACCCCCUUGCCCCGGAAGAGGCAGCUGAUGCGCUCCUUGUUUGGGGACUACAGGGCUCGGAUGGAAGCCGAGUGGCGCGAGGCUCUGCGGGACCUCAGGGCUGAGUUGGAAUGUGCCAGUAGCUGUGAGCGGGGCGGGCUGCUGCAGAGUGGCUGUGGGCUCUGCAUCUGAAGUGACAGCGACAGCAAUGGCAGCUCCUUGGUGGCCCUCACAAGCCCAGCAGGCUCCAACAGCGACCCCAGCACACGGUGGCAGCGCUCAGUUCCAGGCAAGUCUAAAGGUUUAGUCCAGGCUUUGCAGCUGAUCCAGUGGCCCUCCAUAGAGCUGUCAGUCCCUGCUGCACUGAUGCAUGCCUGCUCCCUGAUGGACAUCAAAUUGAGCAGCAGAUUCACCUCCACCCAGCAGCCCUCUACAGAGUUGCUGGGCCUUUCUGCACCUGUGCAUGUCUGCUCUCUGCUGGACAGCAGAUUGGGUGGUGGAUUUGCCUCCUCCAGCAGGUCUCCAUAGAGCCACCUGGCCCUGCUGUGCCCAAGCACACCAGCUCCUGGCCAGGCAGUGGCAUCAACUCCAUUGACAGUCCUGUGCAGAGCCACAUGGCCCCUCCCCUUCAGCAAGGCUCACCUGGUUCCAGUCCAAAAGUUUUUCAAGCAGUGUGCCAUCCCCUGGGAGAAACAACCUGAGAGCUGUUUGUCCCUGCUUGGUUUGGUAGCUGGUCAGGCACUGACUCUACAUCUCAGAGAGACCACCAAAUAGGCAGUUGACCCUCUGCAACCUGCACACAUCUGGCCAAACAACCAGCCUGGAGGUUCAAAGUCAUACCAAAGUAUAAAGGAUAUAGCAAAAGAAGUUCUAAGGGAAAUGAUUAUAGCAAUAAAUGCCUACAUCAAAAAAGAAUGAUUUCUAAUCUAACAUUGCUCCUAAAGGAACCAUAAAAGCAAUAAGAAACUAAACCCAAAAUAGGCAGAAGGGAAGAAAUAAUAAAGUUCCAAGCAGAAAUGCGUGAAAUAGAAAAAAAAAUGAAAAGAUCAAGAAAAUGAAGAGUUGGAUUGUUGAAAAGAUAAAAUUGACAAAGCUUUAGUCAGAAUAACCAAUAAAAAAAUAGAGAAGACUCAAAUAAAUAAAACAAAAAUGAAAAGGGGAUGUUACAGUUGAUGCCACAGAAAUACAAAGAAGCAUAAGGGACUAUUAGGAACAUCAAUAUUCCAACAAAUUUGAUAACAUAGAAGAAAUGGAAAAUUCCUGGAUAGAUAUAAUCUGCCAAGAUUAAGUUAUGAACAAAAAGAAAACAUGAACAGACCAAUAAUAAGUGAGGAAACUGAAUCAGAAAUACAAGUCUUCAUUAAGAAAAAGCUCAAGACCUGAUGCCUUCAGUGCUGAAUUCUGUCAAACAUUUAAAGAACUGAUAACAAUACUCUUCCAAUCAUUACAGAAAAUUGAAGAGGAGGGAAUAUUUCUCAUCUCAUUUUAUGAGCCCAGCGUUGCUCUGGCUCAAAGCUGGACAAGUACACAACAACAAAAAAAAAAAAAAAAAGAAAAGAAAAUUAUAGGCCAAUAUCCCUGAUGACAUAGAUGUGAAGAUUCUCAACAAGAUACUAACAAACUGAAUCCAGGAGCACGUUAUGAAUAUUGUUUGCUAUGAUCCAGUGGGAUUUAUCCCAGGGAUGCAGGAUGGUUUAACAUAACACAAAUCAAUAAAUGUGAUACACCACAUUAACAGAAAGAAAGACAAAAACCAUAUGAUCAUCUCAAUUGAUGCAGAAAAAGCAUUCGAAAAAGCUCAACACUCCUUCAUGAAAAAACUCUUAACUAGUUAUAGAAGGUAUGUGCCUCAAUACAAUAAAGGCCAUAUAUGAGAAACCCACUGCUAAUAUCAUACUGAGUGGGGAAAAGCUGGAAAGCCUUUUCUUUUAGAUCAGGAACAAGACAAGAACAGCCACCUGCACCACUUCUGUUCAACAUAGUAAUGGAAGUCCUAGCCAGAGCAAUUAGAAAAGAGACAGAAAUGAAAGGAAACCAGAUUGGAAAGGAGGACGUCAAACUGUUCCUAUUUGCAGUCUUUAGUAAACCCUAAACAUUGUAACAAAAAGCUGUUAGUUACGACUAAUAAACAAAUUCAGUAAAUUUGCAGGAUACAAAAUCAACGUACAUAAGUCAAUAGCAUUUCUAUAUACUAAUAGUGAACUUUCUGAAAAAAAUCAAGAAAAUAAUUCCUUUUACAAUAACUAUGAAAGAAAGAAAGAAAGGAAGGAAGGAAGAAAAGAUACCUUAUAAACUUAACCAAGGAGGUGAAAGAACUCUAUCAUGAAAACUAAAGAACUUUGAAGAAAAAGAUCGAGGAGGACACAAAAGGAAAGAUAUAAUAUGUUCAUGGAUUGGAAGAAUUAAUAUUGUUAAAAUGGCCAUUCUACCUAAAGCCAUCUACAGAUUGAAUGCAAUUCCUAUCAAAAUGUGUAUGACAUUCUUUACAGAAAUAGAAAAAAUAAUCCUAAAAUAAAUAUGAAAUUAAAAAGGACUGCAAAGAGCGAAAGCAAUUCUGAGAAAACUACGCAAAGCUGGAGGCACCACACUACCUGACAUCAAAGUAUACAAUAAAGCUGUAGUAACCAAAACUGCAUGGUCCUGGCAUAAAAACAGACAUAUAGACCAAUGGAACAGAAUAGAGAGCCCAGACAUAAAUUCACACACCUACAGCUGAUGGAGUUUGGAUGUGUUGUUCCCUCCAAAACUCAUGUGGAAAUUUGAUCCCCAGUGUGGCAGUGUUGGAAACUGAUUGAGUCAUGGGAGCGGAUCCCUCAUGAAUGGAUUAAUGCUCUCCCUGGGGGAGGGGGGAUUAAUGAGUGAGUUCUCACUCUAUUAGUUCCCACAAGAGGUCGUUGAUUUUAAUAAAAACCCUGGCACCUUCUCUCUCUCUCUUGUCUUUCUUGUUUCCUCUCACCAUGUGAUCUGCUUGUACCCACCGGCUGCCUGCCACUUUCUGCCAUGAGUAGAAGCAGCCCGAGGCCCAUGCCAGAUGCAGCUGUCCCAGAAUCAUAAGCAAAAUAAACCUCUCUUCUUUAUAAAUUACCCAGUCUCAGGAUGCUGUUAUAGCAACACAAAAUGGACUAAAACAGAAAAUUGGUACCGAGGAGUGGGGUGUUGUUAAACAGAUAUCUGAAAAUGUGGAUGCAUCUUUGGAGCUGGGUAAUGGGCAAAGGUUGGAGGAGUUUCGAGUACUUAGAAGAAGAAAAAAAGAUGAGGGAAAGUUUGGAAUGUUUUAGAGACUUAUGUGGUGGCGAGCAGAAUGCGGAUAGAAAGGUGGACAGUAAAGUCCAUGCGGAUGAUGAGGUCUCAGAUAGAAAUGAGGAACUUAUUGGGAAUUGGACAAAAGAUAACCCUUGCUACACCAUAGCAAGGAACCUGGCUGCAUUGUGUCCAUGCCCUUGGACUUUGUGGAAGGUGAGACUUAAGAGUUGUGAACCAGUGCAUUUGGUAGAAGAAAUUUCUAAACAGCAAAGCAUUAAGGAAGCUGCAUGGUUGCUUUUAAGAGCCUGCUCUGAGUUAUGGUGGCAAAGACAUGAUGUAAAGCCAGAAAUUAAAAGGGAUGCAGAGAAUAAAGUUUUGGAAUAUUUGCAGCCUGGCCAUGUGGUAGAAAAGCAGAGAGCAUGCAGUGGUGCAGCCCAGCAACCAUUAGCUAAGAAGAUUAGUCAAAGGAAAGGGAUUAUCAAGAGAAGGAGAAAAAUGCCCUGAAGGCAUUGCAGAAGCCUCUGAGGCCAACCCUUCCAUUUCAGUCCCAAAGGCCUAGGAAGACAAAAUGGUCUUGGGGAACAGACCCGAGGCACUCUCCAUGGGCUUGCUGCCCAGGGCCACCUCAAGAAGCUGCUUCCAGCACCAGCACCCCAGCUGUUUUGGCUGCUCCAGCUGUGGCUAAAUUAGCUCCAGGUGUGUCUAGACCCACAGCUUUGGAAACUACAGGCCAGAAGUCUUGGAGGCAUCCACGUGGUGUUAGGUCUGCAUGGUCACACAGAAUGCCAGAGCUGGGAAGUCUUGGGAAUCUCCACCCAGAUUUCAAAGUAUGUAUGGAAAAGUCUGGGUGCCCAGGAAGAGAUCUGUCACAGAGGUGGAGUCACCACAGACAGCCUUUGCUAGCAUAAUGCCAAGCAGAAAUGUGGGGUCAUUGCAGCAGAGAAACCCUAUCAGUAUCAUGCCUACUGGAGCUGUGAGAGCAGGACCACCAUGGAGACCCCAGACCUGUGGAGCUACCAGAGUGGAACCCCAGCCUGGGAGAGGUGAAGUGUGGCCUGAGACCAGGAAAGCCAUAGGAGCAGAGCUGCCCAAGGACUUGUGGUCCCAACCCCCACACCAGUGUGCAGAGGCAGUCGAACAUGGAAUCAAGGUACCUGAUUCUCCAGCCUUGAGAUUUAAUGCCUGUUCUGCUGGGUUUUGGACUUGUUUGAGACCUGUUUCUCCUUUCUUUCCUCUGGCCUAUUCCUCCCUUUUGAAAUGGGAAUGUGUACCCAAUGCCUGUUCCACCAUUGUAUCUUGGCAGUAGAUAAAUUUGGUUUUGACUUUUACAGGUUCAAAGCUGGAAGGAAUUUUGCUUUUGGUCUCAGGGGAGACUUUGGACUUUGGACUUUUAAGUUGGUGCUGGAGCAAGCUAAGACUUUUGGGACUGUUGGGAUAGAAUGACUGUAUUUGUAUGUGAGAGUGACAUGAGUUUGGGGGUGCCAGGGGCGGAAUGAUGGAGUUUCGAUGUGUUGUCCCCUCGAAAACUCAUGUGGAAAUUUGAUCUCCAAUGUGGCAGUGUUGGAAACUGACUGAGUCAUGGGGGCGGAUCUUUCAUGAAGGGAUUAAUGCUCUCCCUGGGGGAGGGGGGAUUAAUGAGUGAGUUCUCGCUCUAUUAGUUACCACGAGAGGUCGUUGCUUAAAAAAAUACCCUGGCACCUUCUCUCUCUCUCUCUCUUGCUUCCUCUCUCUUGCUUCCUCUCUCACUAUGUGAUCUGCUUGUACCUGCGGGCUCCCUGCCACUUUCCGCCAUGAGCAGAAGCAGUCUGAGGCCCAUGCCAGGUGCAGCUGUCCCAGAGUCGUAAGCCAAAUAAACCUCUUUUCCUUAUAAAUUACCCAGUCUCAGGUAUUCUGUUAUAGCAACACAAAACGGACUAAAACAACAGCCAACUGAUCUUUGGCACAGGGGCCAAGAACACAUAUUGAGGAAAAGAUAGUCUCUUCAAUAAAAGGUUUUGGGAAAACUGAAUAUCCACAUGCAGAAGAAUGAGACUAGAUUCCUACCUUUUACCAUUUAUAAAAAUCAACUCAAAAUGGUUUAAAAAUUUAAAUGUAAAACCCAAAACUGUGAAACUGCGUAAGAGUAAUUAUCCAUGACAUGGGACUGGGCAAGGAUUUUUUAAAUGAGACUUUGAAAGCACGAGCAAUAAAAGCAAUAGACAAGUGGGAUUAUAUCAAACUAAAAAGCUUUUGCACAUCGAAGGAAACUUAGAGUGAAGAGACAACCUGCAGAAUGGGAGGGAAUAUUUGCAAACUGUACAUCUGACAAGGGGUUAAUAUCAAGAGUAUAUAAGGAACUUCAAAAACUCAACAGCAGAAAGUCCCAAAUAACCCAACUGAGAAAUGGACAAUAAAAAAUAUUAAUAAACAUGUCUCUAAAGAAGACAUACAAAUGGCCAACAAGCAUAUUAAAAAUGCUCAACAUCCUAAUCAUUGGGGAAAUGCAAAUCAAAACAACAAUGAGAUACCACCUUACCAGUUAUAAUGGCUAUUAUCAAGAAAACAAAAGAAAACAAGCAUUGGCAUGGAUGUGGAGAGAAGGGAACACUUGUACAGUGUGAGUGUAAACUAGCACAGCCACUGUGGAAAACAGUAUGGAGGUUCCUCAAAAAUUAAAAUUAGAACUACCAUGUGAUCCAGCAAUCUCACAAUAAACAUGGGAGUGCAGAUAUCUCUUCAAUGUCAAAGAGAUGUCUGCACUCACAUGUUUAUUGUAGCGCAGUUUACAAUAGCCAAGAUAUGGAAUCAAACUAAGCAUGCAACAACGGAGGAAUGGAUUUAAAAAUGUUGUAUUUAUACACAGUGGAAUACUAUGCAGCCAUAAAAAAGAAUGAGAUCCUGUCAUUUGUGGCAACGUGGAUGGACGUGGAGUUGGAGAACAUGACGUUAAGUGAAGUAAGCCAGGCACAGAAAGACAAAUAUCACAUGACCUCACUCAUAUGUGCAAAAAAAUAAGUUGAUUUUAUAGAGGCAGAAAGUAGAAUAGUGUUCACCAGAGAGUGGUGGUGGUGUGUUGGGGGGGGAUGGAGGAAAAGAGGGAGAGGCUGGCCAAUGGGCACAAACUUACAAUUAGAUAGGAGGAAUAAAUGCUGAUGUUCUUUCCAUGGAACAGUAGGGUGGCUCCCGCUAACAGUCAAGUUCUGUAUGUUAUGUAAUAGCUACAGGAGAGGCUUUUGAAUGUUUUUGCCAUGAAGAAAUGAAAAAUGAGUGAGGUGAUUGAUACAUUAACCUCUCUGACCCAAUUAUUAUGUAACAUAUACAUAUAUCAAAACAUCUGAUUAGGGGCUGGCCCAUGGCUCGCUUGGGAGAGUGUGGAUCUAAGAGCACCAAGGCUAUGGGUUCGGAUCCCCUUACCGGUCAUCUUUUAAAAAAAAAACAUCAAAUUGUACCCCUCUGAUCCAAUUAUUAUAUAACAUAUAUACGUAUCAAAACAUCAAAUU